ACGAACGUUGGCGGCGUGGAUUAGGCAUGCAAGUCGAGGGAAUCCCAGCAAUGGGGGAACCGGCGUAAGGGGCAGUAAGGCAUGGGUACCUACCUUUGGGUUCGGGAUAGCCAUCAGAGAUGGUGGGUAAUACCGGAUGACGUGGUGACACCAAAGAUUUAUCGCCCGGAGAGGGGCCCAUGUGAUAUUAGGUAGUUGGUGAGGUAACGGCUCACCAAGCCGAAGAUGUCUAGCGGGUGUGAGAGCACGACCCGCGCCACUCGCACUGCGACACUGGCGAGACACCUACGGGUGGCUGCAGUCGAGGAUCUUCGUCAAUGGGGGCAACCCUGAACGAGCGACGCCGCGUGUGCGAUGAAGGCCUUCGGGUUGUAAAGCACUGUCGAGGGGGAGAAAAGCCGAAAGGUUUGAUCUAUCUCUGGAGGAAGCACGGGCUAAGUUCGU
rnacentral:rRNA from 1 species